rnacentral:lncRNA from 1 species
GCAAGACUUCCAUCAGCUCUGUUUGCUUCUUUUUACUUUGUGUGAGUGUGUAACCUAUGGUAUGCCAUAGACUUAAGAAUUCAUUGUACAAAAAAAAAAGAAAGAAGAAAAUCCAUUGCACAAAAGCAGAUUUUUUUUUUGAAGACAUAGUUUGUAGUCCAGGCCCAAAUGUGUUUAUUGAAUGAGUCUGAGUAGUAACUUUAAUGUUCUUUGUCACUCUGUUUUUACAUUAAAAUACUGGAUCAUUAAUAAUAAAGUGAUUUUUGUAUAUUCUAGCAUAAAGGAAGAUAACAUGGCAAAGAUAGAAAUAACAUUGCUAUCAUAUUGUCAUAAAAAUUCCCUACCUGACUUAUCUGUAUUUCUUCUCUUGAAUGAAAAAACACUCAAUUAGCACAACUAGCUGUUAUUUCUAACUUUCACACCUAACAAGCAUUAUCUUGAUUUGAAUAUGGUGAUAUUAAUUUGGUACUAAUUUUAUAGGAAUACUUUUUUUCUGUGCUUAAAUUUAAUGAGUUUGUAAACAGUGUCCAAGCUAAUACUGAGAAGUGCUUUUCAAAGCCCCCUAUAGAUAAAAAUUUUUAGGAUUAUGCCAUUUUAUAUGCUUUGUUUAGGGAGGUUGAUAGUGUAACAAUAUUUUUCUUAUUUUGAUAUUUUUGUCUAAUCUCUUCUAGAUGUUAUUAGAAAACAUAGAGCAGAUGCUAAAAUGUGAUAAUAAAUGGGCUCAAAUUUUAUUAUCCAUUUGGUUAAAGUUUGUGGUUAUUUGUGUGUAUGAAUUUGCUGUGCAUGUAUUUAGCAUGUACAAUGAUUUAAGUAUAUGUGAUAUGUCUUCUGUUUAAGUUGUGUUUCUGAUUUUCAAUGUCCAACAUCACUGUGUUUGUUAAAUACAACAUCCUCAUCAAUAUAAUGAAGGAAAAGAAAUAGUCUAUAUUGUACAUUUAUUUUAAUACUUAAAUAAAAAUUAUUAAUCU